CACGUAGGGUGCGAGCGUUGUCCGGAAUUAUUGGGCGUAAAGAGCUCGUAGGCGGUGUGUCGCGUCGGCCGUGAAAACCUGCAGCUUAACUGUGGGCUUGCGGUCGAUACGGGCAUCACUGGAGUUCGGCAGGGGAGACUGGAAUUCCUGGUGUAGCGGUGAAAUGCGCAGAUAUCAGGGAGGGAACACCGGUGGCGAAGGCGGGUCUCUGGGGCCGAUACUG
rnacentral:rRNA from 1 species